AAUCACUUCGCCUGCCUUGUCCCCAGAGUGCCUGGAUUGCUGACGAGCAUUGAGCAUGCGCAGUGGCCUACCGAACACAGAUGCCCUCCCCUUAUCCGCCCACACCGACUCUGACUGCUGGAUCAUGCCACACACUGGCCUAGGCGGUCACUGGUGUACCCCCAUGCAGUUCUCUUUGUUCAGUUCCUAGAACAGAAAGAGAAGCAAGCUGGGAUUUGUCUAGGGGAAGGAUGCCACAGUUCAUAGCAUUCUCGCUCGGCCCCCUCAGGCCUGCCGUUUCUCUUUCCACUCCCCGGAACUCCUCCCUGUCCCCAUCCUGA
rnacentral:lncRNA from 1 species